GAGAAAAUGGGAUGGCAGGCUGGCAGGAAUAAAUUAACCCAGAAAAAAAGAACAAAAGGAUACUGGCCUCAGGUUCCAUCAUGAUCUGCUGCAGCAAUCCUCAUGCGGGGCACCACCCGUCCGGUCUUUCCCAGAGACUCUUGCCAAGUGACGGAUGGAAGAAGUUCACUGACACAGAGAUAUGGAGGCCAGGAAGUCCAAGAUCAAGGUGCUGGUCGAUUCCUGCUAAGUGCCCUCUUCUUUAUUUUCAGACUGAUGGCUUCUAACUGUAUCCAUACAUGAUGAAGACAUUCCCACAUAAAAUCUCCUUCUUUGAUGAUCACGGGAUGUGUAAGAGAUCCAUUCGUUAGAUGAAAAUUGCCAUCAGCUUCACAAAAAACACACCAGAUGUAUCCAAUUUUAGAAAAUUCCCACAAAGGUCCUGAUCCCCCAUUUAUUUAUUUAUUUAUUUGUUUGUUUGUUUGUUUGUUUAUUUACUUGCCAUGCUUCACCCUUAAUAGAAAUGUGUAUGACAGUGAAAUAUAAAAAACCUACAAAGAAUUUAAAUAUCUCCAUUAAUUUUUAAAGGAAAAUAUAUUUCAGUAAUUUAUUUUGUUUUGUGCUAUAGAGUUUUUACUUCCACAAACAAUGAAUCAUGUAAGUUUUAGGCAUAUAUCUGUCUGUAAGUCUGCAUGUAACAGCCUAAAUAUACAGAAACAUUUCUGUUAACAUGGUCCAUCUUCACUCAGCCUCCCUAUACUUGCCUCACUUAACCAACUGUUCUCAGUUCUUCUCAGGUAUAAGAUUCUACUCUAGCUUUCCAUAGGAUAGUAUAAAAGUAGCCAAGAAGCUGACAGCUAUAAUUUUCCAGCUUUACUUAAGAUUAUGUUGUGGUCCAGAUCAGCUUGUGUUGACUGAAUUAUUGUUUCCUGACUUAAUGUCUGACCUCUGGAUGACACUUUCUAUUUGACGUAGAUAGCAUUUUUUUUAGUUUUCCUCAUCGUUGGACUAAGUAUCUUAUAUUUUGCUUGCUGUUUCAAGUUCAUUUACCAAAUAAGAGUAUUUUCUGAUAUUUCUGAACUCUUUUAUCUAGCAUGUACUGUACGUCUUACAAGAGUGAAAUAAUAAAUGGCCAUAAAUGAUAAUGAAUGCAGGGUAAGGCCAAGAACUUCACUGUAUGGAAGUCUUAAGGCUUCAUGUAUAUUUCCCCAAAUAUUAUCUAUGACAUUUGACCUUCUGGAAUGAUCUUUUCAGGUCUCCUUGGAAUUAUUUCCAGAUUCAUGUUUUAUAUUUACAUAUUCCUAGUCUCCUUAAAUCUGGGAAUUUCACUAUUUUUUUUCACUUAGCUAAAUCAUUACACUUGUAAGAAUCCUCUUCAGUGAAAUAGCUAUUUGUCCAAACCCUCUCUUGUCUGCCCAUGCGUUGUUUGUCUGUAGUACAAUUUCCUUGGAACUUCCAUUUAUGAGAAAUUGAACAAGACAUUUUAAAAUAUCAAAAUUAUGGCUGCUUAAGUUUCCCAUUUAAAAAUGCUUUCUUCACUCUACAACGUUAUAAUAGGUUUCAUAGCAAAUAAUAUUAUUCAUUUUUAUUAAUUCUACCAUGAUAACCAUUUGACUUGUUAGUGACCAAUACAUGUAUAUUUGGAAUCACUAAUGAAUUCUAAUUAUAAAGAGCACUCAAAAUGGUACUUUAAUAACACUUUGGGAAAACAGUAAUUUAUAAUGAUGAC
rnacentral:lncRNA from 1 species